rnacentral:rRNA from 1 species
UAUUAUGUACAUGCCUACAGUGUUAAUGCACCAGAUCCCAUCAAAACUCUGCAGUUAAGUGUGCUUGGGUGAGAGUAGUAUUGGGAUGGGUGACCUCCUGGGAAGUCUUAGUGUUUUACAU